AUUGAACGCUGGCGGCAGGCUUAACACAUGCAAGUCGAGCGGAGAUGAGGUGCUUGCACCUUAUCUUAGCGGCGGACGGGUGAGUAAUGCUUAGGAAUCUGCCUAUUAGUGGGGGACAACAUUCCGAAAGGAAUGCUAAUACCGCAUACGUCCUACGGGAGAAAGCAGGGGAUCUUCGGACCUUGCGCUAAUAGAUGAGCCUAAGUCGGAUUAGCUGGUUGGUGGGGUAAAGGCCUGCCAAGGCGACGAUCUGUAGCGGGUCUGAGAGGAUGAUCCGCCACACUGGGACUGAGACACGGCCCAGACUCCUACGGGAGGCAGCAGUGGGGAAUAUUGGACAAUGGGGGGAACCCUGAUCCAGCCAUGCCGCGUGUGUGAAGAAGGCCUUAUGGUUGUAAAGCACUUUAAGCGAGGAGGAGGCUACUGAGACUAAUACUCUUGGAUAGUGGACGUUACUCGCAGAAUAAGCACCGGCUAACUCUGUGCCAGCCGCCGCGGUAACAC
rnacentral:rRNA from 1 species